rnacentral:lncRNA from 1 species
AAAGCGUCCGUGGUCUCUGCCUGGAAGUCUGAGACGGUCUCCCCGAUGGGGCUAUUCCCGCCCGGACCCUGAGGGAUGAGAGUUGCAGCCUAGAAAACCAGAAAUUUUUCUACUAAGGACGGGGCUGAAUUGGAGGGACUGUGCUGACAAAUCCUCUACUUGAAAAUCCCCCAGCUAAGGAGUAUCUGCCCAAGGUCGCGGCCACCCAGAUGUUCGGUCCCCACUCCUUCCUCCGCUGAAAAGUCGCACCGAUGACUAACGUUGCCUGCCGGCCUGGUGGUUUGAAAACGAAUGCCGGGCAUUGAUACAAGGAUAUCCUCCCCUACCCCUGGGAUUCUGGUCUAAGCAAAGGAGGCCGAAUGGAGAACUAAGAUAAUUAUCUAAGUAAUCUAAAAAGCUCAAAGACAUCCCCAAGCGGACCUUGCUCCAGUGGUCUGUGAUGGCAGCCUAGUGGACAGUUUUCUAGUGGCCCUCUGGGGUUAAUUGCCUUAAUCUUCCACUCGGUCUCCCCCAGCAAAGGGAAAGAUGCUAAAGCAGCUGUGGACUUGCAGCCUCCCUCCUGUGUGUGCAGAGCCCCCAGGAAUCACUGCCCCAGUGCAGCAGGAGAAGCGCCUUCCCUCAUGCCCUAAGCCUGCCUUUUCUGUUGUCCCCCAGCUCCUGGGCCAGGUGGAGCCCGCCCUGAAGCUGGUUUCUACCUGCCCUCGCCUCCCCACUGCAGCCCACAGUUCGGCUUUCAGGGCUGAACCCAGAGCCCAGAGGAUGGAGAAGCCAGAAAGCGGGGAGGUAAGGGAGAGGGCGUCUAGGCACACCACAGAGGUGAUUGGGUUGUGACGGGGACAAUCCGCACAACACGAGCUAAGCUCACACCCCUAGGGAGUGAUUUUUCCGGACUGCCCCCAUCCCAAUCUCCACUCCCUCUGCUUUACUUGAAAAAGAAAAAGAAAGAGAGCUCCUUCAGGCUCCUGGUGACCCAUAUUUAGGACACCAUCCCAUCCCCCAGCACACACAUUCCUACAGUGUCACCUGGUCCCCAAUCCGAGCAUUUCCUGGAGUGCUCGCCACAUUCCCCUUCCUGGUGCUUUUCUAUGGUGGGGCCAGGGGAGGCCUUGUUUUGAACAUCGCUGUGACAUCACUCCCCCUCCUCCGAGCUAAGCACCCCUCGGUGGGCCCUGGGAAUUGUUGCCCGGCCUGCUGGGGAGGGGCGGAGUGUGGGCCCAGGGAGGGUUCCACCAAACAUUCAUUACCGCUGUCGCCUGCGGGGCCUUCAGGCUGCAAGUAAGUGAGGUGUCAGAAAAGAAGCCGAAGGGUUCCCGUGGGGGCUCUUCUGCCAAAUGAGUCAAGAGAUGUGCGGAAGAGGAUGAUUGAAGUACCCCGUGGAGUAGCAGAAAGGGGCAUCAAAAACUGUAACCUGAAAAUAAAA